CGGAUGAACGCUAGCGGGAGGCUUAACACAUGCAAGUCGAGGGGUAAAUGGUAGCAAUACUAUGAGACCGGCGGACGGGUGCGUAACGCGUAUGCAACAUACCUUGUGCAGGGGGAUAGCCCGUGGAAACGCGGAUUAAUAUUCCAUAGUCCAGCUAUAUCGCAUGGUAUAGUUGGUAAAGAUUUAUCGGCACAAGUUUGGCAUGCGUCUGAUUAGCUUGUUGGUAGGGUAACGGCCUACCAAGGCUACGAUCAGUAGGGGUUCUGAGAGGAUUAACCCCCACACUGGUACUGAGACACGGACCAGACUCCUACGGGAGGCAGCAGUGGGGAAUUUUGGACAAUGGGGGAAACCCUGAUCCAGCCAUGCCGCGUGCAGGAUGAAGGCCUUCGGGUUGUAAACUGCUUUUGUACGGAACGAAAGGUACCUUUCUAAUAAAGAGGGCUCAUGACGGUACCGUAAGAAUAAGCACCGGCUAACUACGUG
rnacentral:rRNA from 1 species